CCACAGAUGAGUCUGGUGCAUGCUGAAGUCUAAGAACCACUAGCUUGAGUAGAGAUUCAAAGUUUGGGUCUCUAGCACAGAAAGACUUUUGCAACAACGAGUCUCGGGAGGCGUAAAGCAAGCAGAGAGGACUGCAGCUGUUAAAAGUAGUCCUAAGAAGAUUCUAGGGUGACACCUCAUCCACCUUUUGAAGAAAGUGGGGCCAGGCAUAGGAAUGGACCAAGAAAAUGAAAAACAGUUAAAGCUGGAUUUUAAAAAUAAAGCUUAUUGAGC
rnacentral:lncRNA from 10 species